GCAUAUCAAUAAGCGGAGGAAAAGAAACCAACAGGGAUUGCCCCAGUAACGGCGAGUGAAGCGGCAACAGCUCAAAUUUGAAAUCUGGUCCCCAGGGCCCCGAGUUGUAAUUUGUAGAGGAUGCUUUUGGCGAGGUGCCUUCCGAGUUCCCUGGAACGGGACGCCAUAGAGGGUGAGAGCCCCGUCUGGUUGGAUACCAAGCCUCUGUAAAGCUCCUUCGACGAGUCGAGUAGUUUGGGAAUGCUGCUCUAAAUGGGAGGUAUAUGUCUUCUAAAGCUAAAUACCGGCCAGAGACCGAUAGCGCACAAGUAGAGUGAUCGAAAGAUGAAAAGCACUUUGAAAAGAGGGUUAAAUAGUACGUGAAAUUGUUGAAAGGGAAGCGUUUGUGACCAGACUUGGGCCCGGUUAAUCAUCCAGCGUUCUCGCUGGUGCACUUUGCCGGCCCAGGCCAGCAUCAGUUCGCGCCGGGGGAUAAAGGCUUCGGGAAUGUGGCUCCUCCGGGAGUGUUAUAGCCCGCUGCGUAAUACCCUGGUGCGGACUGAGGUUCGCGCUCCGCAAGGAUGCUGGCGUAAUGGUCAUCAGCGACCCGUCUUGAAACACGGACCAAGGAGUCGUCUUCGUAUGCGAGUGUUCGGGUGUCAAACCCCUACGCGUAAUGAAAGUGAACGUAGGUGAGAGCUUCGGCGCAUCAUCGACCGAUCCUGAUGUUCUCGGAUGGAUUUGAGUAAGAGCAUACGGGGCCGGACCCGAAAGAAGGUGAACUAUGCCUGUAUAGGGUGAAGCCAGAGGAAACUCUGGUGGAGGCUCGCAGCGGUUCUGACGUGCAAAUCGAUCGUCAAAUAUGGGCAUGGGGGGCGAAAGACUAAUCGAACCUUCUAGUAGCUGGGUUUCCGCCGAAG
rnacentral:rRNA from 1 species